rnacentral:rRNA from 1 species
AUUGAACGCUGGCGGCAGGCCUAACACAUGCAAGUCGAGCGAGCGGCGGACGGGUGAGGAAUGUAUGGGGACUGCACGAUAGAGGGGGAUAACUCCUGGAAACGGUGGCUAAUACCGCAUACUAUCGGAUAACCCAUAUGGGAUUAGCUAGUAGGUGGGGUAAAGGCUCGCCUAUGCGUCGAUCUCUAGCUGGUCUGAGAGGAGGAUCAGCCACACUGGGACUGAGACGCGGCCCCGACUCCUACGGAGGCAGCAGUGAGGAAUAUUGCGCAAUGAGCGCAAGCCUGAUGCAGCCACGCCGCGUGUAUGAAGAAGGCCUUAGGGUUGUAAAGUACUUUCAGCGGGGUGGCGUUACCCACAGAAGAAGCACCAGCUAACUCCGUGCCAGCAGCCGCGGUAAUUC